rnacentral:tRNA from 1 species
GCGGGUAUGGCGUAGAGAUAGCGUAUCUGGCUUCCACCCAGAGGGCACGAGUUUGAUCCUCGUUAUCCGCUC